AGAUUGUUCAUGAAUCUAAGAUCAAAAAAGAUUAAAAUAAUUUUAAAUCUAAUUAUUAUCAUGAUGAUCGCAUCAUCACCUUUGUAUGGAUAGUGAAUAUCGCUAUCCAAUGAUCGUGGAGUUGAGGUUCAGUGUCAAGCCACACAUGUGUCCGACCUCUGCAAGUAUCCACUUGAAAUCGGACUAGGAUGCUUUCUCCAACUUCAAUCCAUCUUCUCUAAAAUGAAUCAACCUAUGAUCAGAUCUCUGACAGAACCUCGAUUAACCCUUGAUCAUAAUCUUCUUCUUCCUUCAUGCA
rnacentral:lncRNA from 1 species